UACGUAGGUGGCAAGCGUUGUCCGGAAUUAUUGGGCGUAAAGAGCGCGUAGGCGGAAAUCUAAGUCUGUCGUAAAAAUGCGGGGCUCAACCCCGUAGUGUCGAUGGAAACUGGAUAUCUUGAGAGCAGGAGAGGAAAGUAGAAUUCCCAGUGUAGCGGUGAAAUGCGUAGAUAUUGGGAGGAAUACCAGUGGCGAAGGCGGCUUUCUGGACUGUAUCUGACGCUGAGGCGCGAAAGCCAGGGGAGCGAACGGG
rnacentral:rRNA from 1 species